rnacentral:rRNA from 1 species
UACAGCUCACUUGUCGAGCGACUCUGCGCGGAAGAUGUAACGGGGCUAAGCAUAUAACCGAAGUUAUGGGUUACAUAUUGUAUAUGUAGCGGUAGACGAGUGUUGUAUAUGGGGCGAAGGUAGACUGUGAAGACUACUGGACUUUAUACAAGUAAGAAUGCUGGCGUGAGUAACGAAUGAGAGUGAGAAUCUCUCAAACCGAUUGACUAAGGGUUCCUGGGCAAGGGUCGUCCUCCCAGGGUAAGUCGGAUCCUAAGGCGAGGCUGAAAAGCGUAGUCGAUGGGAAACAGGUUAAUAUUCCUGUACCUACGAAUUGUGUGAUGGAGUGACCGAAAAAGUUAUUAUGUGCCGGUUAUUGGAUUCCGGUUUAAAUAGCAAGGUUAGUAAGUUGGCAAAUCCGCUUACUAUUAAGACUAAGUUAUGAGUACGAGCGACCCCUCGGGUAGUAGCA